UUUAAUAUGGCAGAUUAGUGCUUUGGGUUUAAAUUCCAAUUAUAAAGAUUAUUUUUUUUCUUUUAUUAAAA
rnacentral:tRNA from 1 species